rnacentral:rRNA from 1 species
UACGUAGGGACCGAGCGUUGUCCGGAAUCAUUGGGCGUAAAGAGCGUGUAGGCGGUCCGGUAAGUCCGCUGUGAAAGUCGGGGGCUCAACCCUCGAAUGCCGGUGGAUACUGUCGGGCUAGAGUGCGGAAGAGGCGAGUGGAAUUCCUGGUGUAGCGGUGAAAUGCGCAGAUAUCAGGAGGAACACCUAUUGCGAAGGCAGCUCGCUGGGACGUAACUGACGCUGAGACGCGAAGGCGUGGGGAGCAAACAGG